rnacentral:lncRNA from 1 species
AAUGAGGUUUAUUAGCAUCUUCCCGGGGGAUGUCAGAGAAUAAGGGAAGCUUUCAGGACUUUCUUCCAACUCUUCCUUACUAUUGUUCAUGAGAUGGAGCUGAUAGUAAGGCCCUGUGGGGAUCAAGAAUGUUAGUGAUCAGAAAACUAAAUUCACUGUUUCACUGCUCUAAAUAAAAGUGGAUGGACUUCUGCCUCAGCUCAGCUUCGAGAAGGUGGAAGAGGAGCGGGAACACUGGAAAACUGUUUCUCCUUUUUCUCUCCUCCGGCCCUCAUGGUGAGAGGUUCCUUAAAAGGCACAAAUAGUUGGUGCAAAGUACCUCACUGCAUAGCCAUCCUGGACCAUGGAACCCCCAGCCUACCUCAAAGCCUGACUGAUUUGCACAUCCCAGCCAACUUUUGAGCCCUGGGCUGGUCAUAUAAACCCAUGCUGACUGAUGACUGGCAGUCAGCCUCACUUGGCAACUCCACAU